ensembl:lncRNA
GCACGAAGGUGCCCCAGGAAAGCCCAGACACAGUCAGACUCAGGACAAAACAGCUGCUCGACCAGAGUAUGGGAGCUGGCUGGCAACUUCCCAUGGCAUGGGCAGAAUGAUGGCAUUCACAGGAAGCCAGACCCGACCUCUGGGACUCAUUAACUUCAGAGAAGACUGCUCACGCUGAGCCCCAGCCAGGCCCCCAAUCACCAUGCCACCAGCUUCAGGCAACAGACGCUCAGCGCUCAGGACACUGGCCUCCAUAUCAGAGACCCCCUGGCCCAGCGCCCCUCCUGCUUACCAAGUCCUGAGCCAAGGAGGCCAGGUUUGGGAAACAACUCAUCUCUGGAACCGCUGAACGUUUCCCCAUGACCACCACCUUCCCAGGCAGAACACCCAGCUCAGCCAUUAAGUGGGCAGCCCAGCGAAGCAGCGAAGCCUCCCUGCAGGAGCUCCACAGUGCACACCUGCACCCCUAGCGCUCUCCCCCCACGUCCCCUCCACAAAUCACUGUCGAUUCAGAGAGGGAUGGCGGCUCCCUACCUGAGGGUGGCGCUCUCCCCCUGCCGGACCGUCACGUUGUCNNNNNNNNNNNNNNNNNNNNNNNNNNNNNNNNNNNNNNNNNNNNNNNNNNNNNNNAGGAACAGCAGCCUGAGAGACACGACCACGAGGCACUUCCAGGGCAGGAACAGGGACCCACAGACCCCCAUCCUCGACAGCCACAACUUCCCAGAACUCCGGCGGCGGCUCGGCACACGCCCCCCAGGCGCGCACAGGAAGUGGGUGGGGUGGGGGAGCGAGCACGGGGACCCGGAGGCGCGGGCUGGAGAAAAAGCGCGCAGACUCCUGCAAGUAGGGUGUUCCUCCCCAAAUCGAGCCUCAGCGCUCCAGCCUCGGAGAAGCGGUUUCCACGGAGGACAUCCAAAGGGGGCUGCCUCGGUGCUGCUUGGCCGAGAAGGUGGCCGAGAGAGGAGAAGCGCCAGACAGGUGGAUUCUUCAUCCAUGGCAUCACCUGGGAAGCCCCCAGAAAAUGUACUACCAGGUAAAGUUGAGCAACUCACACUGAAGAUCAUUAGGCCCAUUUCCCCCUCGUUUCCUCUGCGGACUUUUCCAAUAUUAAAUUCUCAGGGAAAUCCAUCCGCUACUUUUAGCUGGUGGGGCCAUUUGAUACAGAACACCAAAAAAAGAAAAAUCAAUUGUCAACUUGUGACCACAAAGGAUGACUUUGCUCUCAAGAAAACCAAAAACGAUGUCCAUGAGGAGCAGGAGAUUUUGUUUAUGUUUUUGAAAGAAGAAGAGAAUUAACCAAUUUCAGCACCAGUCCAUUCUUGCUAGACCCUAUUUUGUCUCGAUAUUUGCAGUGGGAAAUCUCGGGGAAAUAGGAAAUCGCAUGAUUUCCCCAAGCUCAAAUGUUAUAUGAUAGCAGAUGUUAGGUGUGAGAUCAUGAUUGAAUUUGGGGUUCUGCUGAAUUUGGGGUUCUCCCAUAGGGCUAAGGAGUUACCUCUGACCAUCCACCGCCACUGUAACCACCCCUCCAGUUCCUCUUGGUAAACAGGUCUUAGCACCUCAAGUAGAAACACGCAUAGCAGUGGAGAAGAGAGAGGAACUCUUUCUGGGGUUUGGAGUCAUUUUCCUCCAGACUUGAGAAUGGCAGGCAUGACUCCUUUCAUGAUAAAUUCUCAUCCUGGCUCUUGCAUCUAAUUCCCAGGUAGGUACAAAUGAGCAUUAGUUUUUGCAUCUCGGAAUGUGGGUAAUGACAACAACCAGCCUUCCCGAGGGGCCUACAGACAUGAUUAACUCUACGGUAGAAUACUUAGAAAUCCAGUUAAGGUGGAAGAUGGUUUAUUAAUAUAUUUUCCCUGCCACUGCUUCAUUAUUAUAGCCAGGCAGAAAAAGAACUCUUCUCACAGGCUCUGUAGGAUGUUCGGCUGAUACCAGUCUGCAGGCACUUGGUCUGAGAUAGACACACUGUCUUUGUGUCUGGCUGGGGAAGAGACAGUGGUGAGCUGCAGCCUCCUGGCCUGGCCAAAGGAAACCCAGCAGAGAUCAGGGUGGACAAAGAAAAGCCACUGGCAACCUCAUAGCUGCUUCGUGGACCCAGGGAUCCAAACUUCAUUCAAAAAUGGAAGUUGAGAAAGUGGUGAGAGGUCAGAGAUGCUGGCACAAUUAACAAGGCAGAAUCCAUUUUAUUGAAACUCGUGAUUGAAGCGGUUUGAAUAGAUGAAGAUCAAAAUCGCAUGUCAGCUCCCGUCUCAUCUCCUAAUCCCUAAAUAUAACCAACACUUAGUGGCUUAUCUUAUAUCCUGUCUCUUGCUUCAUAAAAACUGCUGGAUUUAUUUUUUUUAUUUUUUUCCCAGCAUAUCCAAGUUAAUGAAAAAGGAAUGACAGUCAGAGCAAUUUCAUUAUUUGUGUUCUUUAUAGAAACAACUUCCUUUCUACCUCCUGGAAAGAGGAUUCCUAACGAGCGCCCACCUCCACCUUCUCCCCUCCAUGCCCCCCGCCCCAUCUCUCUCUGCACCCCCCUCUUCCCUCCUGCAUACACAUAUACUGUACACAUAAAUCAACUUGUCACAGCUUGUCUCUGUGCUGACAGCUGUAAUUGCUGCAGGUUAUAAAAAUAUCUAUAGGACAAUGCCUUUCAAGCUCUCAGGCACACACAUACACACUCACACACACUAAAUGAAAGAAAACAAUCAUAUUCCCUUUAAUAAUCCUGGGACUGCAAAGGAGGGGGCACGGAGGAGCUUGCCGUGUGGACUGGAGGGCUGGCAGGCAGGUGAGAACGUGGAGGAGAUGAAGACUCCUAGCAGUGGCAGCAUCUCCACACGAAAGAAGGGAUGGAGAAGGGAGCAUUUGCCAAUGGAAGGGAAAUUGGCUGUUUUUGUUUUUCCCUGUGUUACNNNNNNNNNNNNNNNNNNNNNNNNNNNNNNNNNNNNNNNNNNNNNNNNNNNNNNNNNNNNNNNNNNNNNNNNNNNNNNNNNNNNNNNNNNNNNNUGCUGCCUUCUCUAAAAAGGCGAAAGGCCCCCCUCUCCUGGUGGAGAUUCCAAAUAGGAGCUCAGGCGAGAAGAGGCUGCUUGCAGGAUGGUUGGUGGUGCCAAAUGGACGUCAGGGUGUUUAAUCAGGAGGGGCGGGGGUCCAGCUGGAUCAGUGAUGGCUCUAGGGGAGUGGGGAAGGGCUGGGCUCGGGAAGAAUGCGUGCUCUUCUGUCCUGCAGAGGAUCAAAAAAUCAUUGUUCGUCCGGGCUAGAGUCUGGUGUGUGAGGAUUUCAGAGGGAAGAGCCAAAGCUUCAGGAAGGGAAAGAAGCAUCGGAGGAAAAGAAAGCAGUCAUGAAUGGAGAGAACUGAGGAGGAAGAGAACAAGGGCAAAGGUGAGGCUGCUCGUGGACUUUGAGAGCCAUGAAACUUUGUAAGUUACCUCAAGAGGAGAGGUUGUCAGCAGAGCAAUAGGCAGACAGAAAAGGCAAGAAGAGCCAAGCAAAUGAACAAAGUCAAAGUGACGUCAAAGCAAACGCCAGAUACCCAGAGGGGAACAGCACUAGAGUCAGGGGUCCUGAGAGGAACCAUCUCUCCUUUUCUACGUUUAGGGUCAUCUUAAGAGCCUAGGGUCAGAGAAUGACAGAAUGCUAGGGUCAGAGGGCACCUUGAAAGAUGUGUAACCCACUCAUUUCAUAAGGAGGUGGGGAGUGAACCCAGCAGAGAGGACCCAUUGUCAUGGGAAUAAAGUUAACAACUGGUAAAUCAAGACUAGAACUCAGGGCUGCUGGACACUGCCCUGUUCUCUUGGCUGUACCUGGCAGGUAAGGACACUGCUUAAGAACCAAAUGAUAAAAUAUCUCCCGUGGCUGCUACAUCUGUGCAAGAGAGAACCACAGAAGUGUUAACUAUUAUUGCCCGGUAUCAAUACUUCUGAGUGUCUGAUUAUUCAACUGAGUUCAAUGUAGCCAGGAAACGUUGAAGGUAGCCACGUAGACUUUGAGCUCUUCCUAUGGAGCAGAAAGUUAGAGAUACAGAGAGGAAAGACAUCACCCUGCCCUCAGUUUGCCUACAGUUGAGUGCUUUCAGGUUUGUGCAUGGUUCUUUUUGCGUUUAUAUCCCUGGAAGCCCCUGAGAACAGUCUUAUUGCCAAGAAUGAGUUGGGAUGUGCCUCCUAGUUAGGAACGGUCGAUCCCAUUUCAUGUGUCCAGAUUUCCAGCUAAGCUUCAUUGGAAGUGGCGUUAGGGUCUCCCUAGUGGUUCAGUGAUGAAGACCCCCCCUUCCAGUGCACGGGGUUGGGGAGCUGAGAUCUCACAUGACUCAUGGCCAGAAAAUCAAAACUUGAAACAGAAACAAUAUUGUAACAAGUUUGACAAAGUCUUUAUAAACGGUCCACAUAAAAAAAAAAUCUUUAAAAAAACAAAAAUAAAGUGGCAUUAGAGGUGGUGGAGUACGCUCAAGGAUUUUAAAAUUGUAGGAAAAACAUUCAUCUACUUGACAAACCGCGUUUUUAGUGUACUCUAAAUGCCAGCGAUGCACUAGGUGGUGGAUUUCAGCUGUGGGUGAGAGAGACAAAAACAAAACCAUCCUGUGUCUAUAACCCUCAUUAAGGACACUGUCCAGCAGGGGAGACAGAUAUGAAAGUAAGAACUUCACAAGACAGUAGGCACGAUGGUGAUAAGCACCGUGGGGAAGUAGAAGAGCACGCAUGCUAGAAGGUUCUCUCAGAAUCGGGAAGAUCGGGAGAUGAAAUUGGGGCUUCAUAGUGAGAAGGAGCUGAGUGUGCAGGUGGCGUGGGCCGGAAUCUAGUUACAGGCUCACCAGAAUGUGCACAACCAGAGACGGGAAGGAGGUUGGGCCGAAGUUGCCUUUUAUAUUCAGACUGUGCUCCCUUAGACUGAGGGUGGGGACGUCUGAAGUGCUCUGUCUGAUUCGAAAGCCCUAACUGCUUCUUCAUCCUGUGUUCCUGCAUUCAUUGAUUCACUCAAUACAUAUUUAUCGAUUAAGAGUGACCAGCGGUUUUGGACUCAGACAGACCAGAAGUCAAACAUCGUCUCCAUCGCUAACUGCGUGACCUUGCAGGAAUAACCCCGUUUGCAAAAUAGUGCUCAAAAUGGUACCUACCACGAAGGAGUGGUGUGAGGAUGCUAUGAGGGUCUAAUGGACAGGGGUUAGCAGAGGGCCUGGCAGCUGCAGGCCUCCUGUGCGGGGACCAAAAGGGGGCCACGCGUGUGCUCCCCUCAUUCAGAGGGGCCUCGGUGGGAUAUUCAUCCUGAGAACCCAGGAGCCGCCAUUUCAGUGUUAGGAACCAUCCCUGGGAACAUCCUGAGGGUGUCGUCCCCGGAGCAGGGCAGAAACUUCACGCUGAGAUGUGGUCAGAAAGGGCAGUCACUGAGCUUCAAACCAAGGCAGGAAAUGGGUGACCCUCCUGUUCCCACCCCAAGGUCUUGAGAAGCACACAGGAUCCGGGCCCAUGGAAAGCAGCCUGAAGCUUGAGAAAGAGGACAGGGCUGCUUCUCUGUAUGGCAGCCUGGGUACCUUUCUCUGUUCAGGUUCCCACAUAUACCAGGAAAGGAAACCACCUGAGAAAAAGACAAGACACCUCCUCCAAGCAGCAAAUGAGUAGCACCUCUGACCACUUGCACGCAGCUUGCUACUGCUAAGUCACUUCAGUCGUAUCCAACUCUGUGCGACCCCAUAGNNNNNNNNNNNNNNNNNNNNNNNNNNNNNNNNNNNNNNNNNNNNNNNNNNNNNNNNNNNNNNNNNNNNNNNNNNNNNNNNNNNNNNNNNNNNNNNNNNNUU